CCCAGAAAGCAGUUAAUGGGAAGAAGCUACUCCCAGCUAGCUGGCACUUCUGUUUCCCUGUAGGAUGGCUUGGCAGAGGCAACUGCCCACCCCCUGACCCCACAGUCUUGCCCACUGGCCCCAGGAAGUCAGAAGCUCCAGAAUAGCUGGUCCAGUGUUGGCACAACGAGGUUUCCCAUCUAGGGAUGCCCAUUCCAGGACCACAGGCAAACGGUCACUACACUCCGAUCGAGGUUCUUGAUGGCCUUCAUGUCUCGGAACUAAAGGAGGAGACACACCUCAUGAAGCAGACAAACUCAUAACUCCACACAAAACACCAGAGAGAAGCUGCCAGAGCUGGGUGAAGACAGUGGGAAAACUCCCCGGAAGGGUUAGGGGUGGGGUUAACAUCCGGGCCAAGACAGCGUGGUUUCUGUGAGCCUCACAGGAAAAUGAGCUAGCUGUAUUCCAGAAACUGGGAAAAGCCGGACUGCCAGCAAGGAGAAGAAUCAGUAAAGGAGAGGGCUGACCCACCGCCCUGGGGCAAAAGCAAGGGAGGGCCUGGGACAUGGUGGUUCCCAAGAUGUAUGGGGAAGAUCGGUUGCUGUAACCAACAGGGCAGAAAAAAACAACAACAACAAUAGGAUCCAUGCUCAUACAGUUCUGGAGAUGGCAACCUGAAACAAGCUGUCAGAUGCAAUGAGACCAACUACCUCACAGUCGUAUCGCCAUGCCUUCAAUCCCGAGCCUUCCUGGCCACACUUUCCUGGCCACACCUUCUCCAUCACGCUUUCCCCAUGGUGAUGUUGGACUGCCCUGUUGGGCUGUGGCUCAGAAUAAAGUCUUCUUCCCUUAACAGA